AUAGAUUGCUUUCAAUUUUUGUUACUAUAUUUCAUUUCUGUCUGAAUAAAAAUAAGCUUAUUUCUGUUUAGGCAUCUCAAAAUACUGUUGGUUAAUGUUGUGUGACAAAGCCCAGAUACGGAAAAGCUGAGUGUCGCAGGUCUUCAGCCUGUAAAAACCCUUGAUCUUUUUUCUGUCACUUGAGACUUGGAGAAAUACCCCAGCCACUGGAGGAGACAGUCCUUUUGGUGCUCAGCUCUGGGGCUCGUGCUGCAGAGCUGCUUUCAUUUGAUUCAAAUACUAAAGCAGGUUUUACUCUUAGAGGGAGUAAAAUGACUCGAAAUUGCCUCAUUCCAUUCUCUCUAAUUUGAAAGCAUUGCCUGCCCUUCUGUUUGCCUUUCACACAGUACCACCUCGCUUUGGAAGACCCAUCCUGAUUCCACUUUCUAAGGUGCAUCUCUGGGCACAGUACAGAAUAUAUUUGAUUCCUCUGUAUAUUCUGCUAUUAGGGUCUUAUGCAGAAGAAUUUAUACCCUGUCUAGAUCUGUGGUUUAGCUCAGAUCAGGAAUAUGCUUCUGAAGCCAAUUUGCCUGUCCCUGCUGAAUGUGCUUUGAUUCACAUCAUGGAGCAGUCCUGGGGUACUUCAUCUCUUUCAGAUGAAACUGAAGAGGUUGAUGUGUUCCAAGCGCACAUUUGAUGCUCACCAGCUGCAUUCAGCCCCUGAUGGAACCUGCCUAGUUUGUGUUUGAGGUAAACUCCCAUGAAGCAUGCACAGUGAAGAUGUCAGGUCAUCAGCACCCACUGCUUCAUUCCACAGCUCUCUUCCUAGUGAACCCCGGUCCUUGCUGAUGUGUACAUGGCCUGUGUCUUGUGAAUGUGAUUGCUGUUAGCAGGAGUGGUAUCUGUCUCUUUGGUCCUGGAAGUCCUUGUGGAAAUGUCUCUUCAUGAUGUUUCCACACAUCCAAUUGAACUUUCUUUAUAUUAGGAGGGAAGGAAGAGGGAAAUCAGGUCCUUGCCAGAGCCCAGUGUGAGGUUUUACUGAAUACAUGGCAUAUUGCUCAGUGAUGGAGUUCUAUUUUGCCUUAACUGGAGAAGCUGGAAUCAACUGUAUUUAGGUUAUUUAUUUAAAUAAUGUUUCUGGAGGCUUCUGGGACACAUUUUCUUUUCCAUUUUCUUUCCUGCCUUCCCAAAAAUCUCUUUCCCAGAAGAAGUGAUAGAGGCUGACCUUCAGAUGCCAUGUUUCUUCGUGUGGUAUGUAUUUUGAGAAAGAUUGAAGCUAGUGAGACUAAAGGAAAACUAAAUAUAUCACAGGGCAUCAGCACUCUCCAGAAACAUAAGAAAGCCUGCUUGAAAAAUGAAAUGAAGCAUUCUUUGGUUGGUUUAAUCCACAAGACAGGAACACUCACCACAUAUUUCUACAUGAUUUGCUGCUUCUCUGUUUCCUUCUUGCUCUAAAGUUAAGCAGGUCAAGGCUGGGAAAAUUGGCUGCAUAAGAAAUAAACAUCAGUGAAACAAUACAGGGCCAAUAAAGGAAUUGUCUGCAUUUCCUCUGCAAACAACUGUAUGCAAGGAUUGGGAUAUAUUUCAAGCCUUGGAAGCCCAGGUCCAUUUCUGCCAGUUCCUCAAUGGGUCUGGAAGUCUCAGCCCAUUUUUGCCAGGAUGCAUGAGGGAGGCACUCAGCUUGUAUUCAGGUCAGUGAAGCUCUUUGGGGGAAGCACAAGACCUGCGUGCAUUGAUUCAUGUCCAAUUCAGAUUUGAAUUCCCAAUGGAGCUUUAAUUCACCUGUCACAUCCUCCAUCUUCUUUGUCCCACCUCUGUUCUGUCAGUAAAAACUAAGCAGCAAACAGAGUCUCUGUAAACUUCAGCCCACUGUCAUUUGCAGUUACUGCUCGGACAGAAUGCAUGCUCUGCAUAUCCAGUAUUAGCCAUGGUUUUACUUUGGCCAUUAAGGAAGGGUCUCUCUAAUUUCAGUUUUGAUUCUGCAGAUUUUCUCAAGGCUGAGCUGUGGGGAUUAAAUCCAAGCAGCUGCUCUCAAAGUUUCUAAGACCAAGUCUCCCUUCUUCUUUUCUUCCUUUAGGUUUGUCUCUCCUUACAGUCCCUGUUUAAAUAUGCCCUUUUUUCCUGCUUUGCCCCAAGAUUUGUCAUUUCUGAACUACAGGCCCCAAAGUCUCUUUUGGAUGCAGUAGUUCCCUGUUGUGAAAAACA